UGUUUUUUUCCAUCAUAUGGAGUGUUCUUCAUUCAGUUAAAUGGAACCAGACAAUAGUAACAAUGACCAUUCUUUAAAACAAAUAAAAUCACACUCAAUAUUCUAUUUAUUUACAUAUUUAAAAACUAUUGACUGCAAGGGAGAAAAAAAAUCUAUCCUUAAACAACAGCAAAGAAGAGAAAUGCGUUUUUCCUUGCUUUCAAAGAACUGAUGACAUGGUUAAGACCUGAUGACAGCUGUAAACAAUUGGUGAACAGGAGGAGUACAGCUUUAAAAGCAUGACCUUCAAGUUUGCAGCAUACAUAACAAAGCUCUUGGGAGAAUAGACAGCUGAUGACUUGCAACAAAGACCCUUCCCGCUCAUGGCCAUCUGCUGAAGAGAGCCACCUGGCUCAACAUUACUCCACUUCCCAGGAACAGCCUGCAUCAAUGAGGACCCAAUCUGGGUUUGGGAAUGAGAGGUGCUGAUCUCAAGAACCACCUAAACUUCCUGAAUACAAAGACAUCUCCUUCCUAGAAACCUUACAACCUUCUUUUUCUCCAAAAUGAAAAUUGAAUGAUUUUACUUCACCUGGAAACUCAGAAACCCAACUAAAGUAGCUAAAGUGACUUAUAUAAUCUACAUAUUAACAGAAUUGGUCUAGGUUGUCUAUUUGGAUGCCCGUUUGUCCAGUGUCUCUUUUUAUUCAUAUUAUAUAAUAUUAUUAUUUUUAAAGAUUUUAUUUAUUCAUGAGAGACACAAAGAGAGGCAGAGACAUAGGCAGAGGGAGAAGCAGGCUCUAUACAGGGAACUGAUGCAGGACUAUGUCCUGGGACUCCAGGACCACACCCUAAGCUGAAGGCAGAUGCGCUUAAUCGCUGAGCCAUCCAGGCAUCCCAAUAUAUAAUUAUUUUUAUUGGGUAUACUCUGAUUUUAAAGUGGUGAACAAGGCAGGAUUUCGAUGAGUAAACAAGCCAAAUAAAUAGGAAUAAUAGUCUGCUUAGAAGAUAAACACUAAGCACAGAGAUUUAGGUUUACUUAGGAUGUGUUGAGAUUUCUUGCACUAAAAGAAGAUAGAUAUGCUGAAAUAUUGGGCAUCUUGAUUGUUUUCCCUCCAGUGUUCUUCCAUUAGGGUACAGUUAUGACCUUUUGAAAUAAGUUGGUUGGACAGAAAAAGGAGGUGUGAGUGUAUUUGCCUUUUCCUUAAAAUUCACUUUCUGCUAAGAAGCAAGGUGGUAAAAAAAAAAAAAAAAAUGAGAAAGUCAGGAGGCAAAUGGUCCCUGGUUCAGUCAACCUUCCACAGUUUCCUCCUUUUAGACAGUUGUCCUCAAAUAACCUUUAUCAUGAUGUCUUGAUUCUGUACUUCUUCAAGCCAUUUAUCUCCUGGGAAAUGAAACAACAUGUAAUGUUAAAUUUCUCUUAUAAAGUGGGUAUGACUGCUUCUCAGUUCCUCAUUUUCCAAACCCUUGUAACCAAAGUUACCAAACAGAAACAGCGUGAGAAUUCAAUAACAGAAACAUUUGCUGAUACAGUCGUUCAUUUACAGGCAUCUCAUAGGUUCAUUGUUUUUAGUGAAUAGAAAGCAAAGCUUUUGACCUCUCAAAAAGGUGUUUUGGCUUGGGUAAGUGAAAUAUGUGCUCUGCUAACAUUCCUGAUAGACUACUCCUUGUACCCAUAUCAGAGACAUUUACACUUUCUGAUCUUAUUUCUUCAUGGUAAGGUUUUCUGAUCUAUUUCCUCAUUUGAAAUUUACCUCAAAAAAUGAAAUAGAAACAUGAAUUUCUUUGAUCAUGUUGGGGGAAAUGCCAGGAUCUCUUUUUCUUGUAAUUAAAGUCUUCCUUAGGAGCACUACUUCCCUUAAUGAGGGAAUACUUUACAUAACUAAAGAAACAUUUAAAUGUGCAUUUCCCAUUAAUGGCAGAUUACUUCAUACAGUCAGGAGUUUGUAUAUGAUGUUUGAAGUAGACCUCAGAGACCAUAAUAACUUGAACACUAACUAGAACACUUGAAUGUCUGAAUGUUCUAGCAGAGAAAAGAAAUGGGGUGAUUCUAGAGGUUUAUUAGACAAUUUGCUAACCUGUUUGUUUACUCUGUAUUAUGAGUACCAGUUAAGAUCUAUUUAUAAAAAUAAGAGAAAAUACAAUAAAAAAUAUAGUGAGAACUGUCAGGCUGUUAAAGAAGAAUUCUUCCUUUAAAAUAGAACUGAGGAAAAAUAAAUAAAUAAAAAAAAUAAAAUAGAACUGAGGGGUGCUUGGGUGGCUUAGUCAGUUAAAUGUCUGCCUUCAGCUCAGGCCAUGAUCCCAGGGUCCUGGGAUUAAGUUCUGCAUCAGGGUCCGUAUUUAGCAGGGAGGCUGUUUCUCCCUCUCCUUCUGCUGCUCUCCCUGCUUGUGUUCUCUUUCUCAAAUAAAUAAAUAAAAAUCUUUAAAAUAGAAGAUCUAGGAGGGCAUCUGAGUGACUCAAUCAGUUAAACUUCUGACUCUUGGUUUUGGCUCAGGUUAUGAUCUCACGGGUUUUGGGAUUGAGCCCUGUAUUGGGUUCCAUACUCUGCUUGGAGUCUGCUUGAGAUUGUCUCUUUUCCCUCUGCUCCUCCCUCCUCUCACAUGCGCCCUUUCUCCCUAAUAAAUGGAUAAAUCUUUAAAAAAAAAAAAAAAAGAACUGUUCUAAUAAGUUAACAAAAGAGUACUAAGUCAUAAGAAAAAUCUGCUUUUCAAAUCAGUUUAUUCUGAUAAUCCUAAAAUUUGUGGAUUCUUAUAAAACUAAAGUCUUUAUAAAAAAUAAAUUUUGGGAAAAUUAAGAUAGUUAUUUAGCAAAGAUAAGAUGAUGUUCAGAAACAUGGCUUGGAGAAAUGAACCCUGAUGUAAGAACAUCAUCCCACCAAGAUAACAAGGGAAAAAUGACAGUAAAAGUUGUGACCUCCUUAACUUAAUUAUACUUAAAAAAAAAAAAAAAAAACCCUGUCUCAGUCUUAAAAUUUGGCUAUACAAUCACUAAGUGGAUUCA